rnacentral:rRNA from 1 species
CUGGCUCAGGAUGAACGCUAGCUACAGGCUUAACACAUGCAAGUCGAGGGGUAACAGGAGAGAAGCUUGCUUUCUUGCUGACGACCGGCGCACGGGUGAGUAACGCGUAUCCAACCUUCCCCAUAGUAGAGGAUAGCCCGGCGAAAGUCGGAUUAAUACUCUAUGUUGUACAACGAGGACAUCUGAAUUGUACCAAAGAUUUAUCGCUAUGGGAUGGGGAUGCGUCUGAUUAGCUUGUCGGCGGGUAACGCCCACCGAGGCAACGAUCAGUAGGGGUUCUGAGAGGAAGGUCCCCCACAUUGGUACUGAGACACGGACCAAACUCCUACGGGAGGCAGCAGUGAGGAAUAUUGGUCAAUGGGCGCGAGCCUGAACCAGCCAAGUAGCGUGCAAGGACGACUGCCCUAUGGGUUGUAAACUGCUUUUAUGCGGGAAUAAAGUUCGCCACGUGUGGUGUUUUGUAUGUACCGUAUGAAUAAGGACCGGCUAAUUCCGUGCCAGCAGCUGC